CUUCGUGGCCAGGACACGCGACCCGUGUGACGCAAAAACACCUUAAAUCCCAAGUGCCAAGUGCCGAGUGAACAAACAAACAAACAAGAAACACCAUCUAAGCCAACUGCCUCUGCGUUAUAGUGCGAAUAAAACUAAAUCAAAAGACCAGUGCAACAGUGCAUCAGUUCUCGGUAGAGCAAAAAAUAAACCUUAAAGCAAAUAUCAACAGACCGAAUAAAAAUAAGCAUAAACAAAAACCAAAAACCCAGAAACGAAAACGAAGCAGAGAAACACACAAAAGCGAAAUUUAAACGUCUGAAUAUUAAUCAGAAAAAGAGAGGGCGCUGAAAACGUGAACCGGAUCCAGUCCUAGACAACUUAUCACAGAGGAUUUACACAGACUGUCAGACAGACAGACUCGGAGGGGCAGCAGGACACGAAUGCGAGUACAGAGCAAAAGGCAGCGCUAAUCAACGGCCAUAGCAGACGACAUCCUUGCUGUCGGGCACGCCCACAAAGUAAGGAGCCGCAGCAUCAGAAAACAGGAGCAGGAGCCGCCUCAUUUGGCCACUGCGGAUUAUGUUAAUUAGAUUUUAAGCACGCGACGACAGCCACUGCGACGGGGGAGAGCUUCUCCCACUGUAAUGUGACAACAGUUGGGCCAAAACAUAAAAA